AUCAAACUGAUGGAGAAACUGGACAUCAUCUUUACCCUGAAUGCCCAGGUUAAUUCUACCAGAACAGAGGUGACCACCAACACUAGGAAACAGUCUGUCUUUUCGUGAGGGCAUUUCCACCUGUCCUGCUCUGAAAGUAUCAGUGCUAUCAGUGGGACUUGCUUUAGUGGAAUACAUCUUCAUGGAACAACAAUAUGAAAGAUGUGAAGGACUUCCCACGUGGCUGGCAAUCUGAAGGGAAGAGACACAGAAGAUACUGCACCCCCUGUACAGUUUAGGUGACCUUCUUUAAAGUCUGCUGAUGAAAAGUGCUAAAUGUUAAGUACUGGAC
rnacentral:lncRNA from 1 species